rnacentral:tRNA from 1 species
GGAGUUGUGCCUGAAAUAAAGGAUCACUUUGAUAGGGUGAAUAAUGGGGGUUAAAGCCCCUCCAACUCCU